CUGCACUCUCGCCUCUUGAGGAAGUCGGGCCCGUAGGGAUUUUAGAAAGUUGAGGAGCGGGCCGUGGGGCUCUGCUUCCACGUUCGGUUUGAGCCCUGGUUCGGCAUUACUUUUGUUUCGUCGCUAGCACGCUUCCGUCUUGGAAGUUGGUAGGGUCGGGGCUUAUUUAAGGGUCUGUUGCAUCUAGGCAUUGGUUGUCCUGCGCAGGGAUCUGUGCGGAGUCCCUUGAGGUAGAGGUGGCGGGAACGGUAGGUGAGGGCUUGGAGAUGCCCACGUGAGGCGUUGGAGGUUGUGGUGAAAAAUCUGCCUCUAAGAAAUCUUCGUGGAGAAAACCUCAUUUCAGUCCUGAAUCUGAUUCAAUUCUCCUGUUGACUUAUGACUGUAUUAAAAAUGUACUGCUGAAUUAA